AUUGAACGCUGGCGGCAGGCCUAACACAUGCAAGUCGAGCGGUAGAGGGAAGCUUGCUUCCCUUGAGAGCGGCGGACGGGUGAGUAACACCUGGGAAUCUGCCUGGUAGUGGGGGAUAACGUUCCGAAAGGAACGCUAAUACCGCGUACGUCCUACGGGAGAAAGCAGGGGAUCUUCGGACCUUGCGCUAUCAGAUGAGCCCAGGUCGGAUUAGCUAGUAGGUGAGGUAAUGGCUCACCUAGGCGACGAUCCGUAACUGGUCUGAGAGGAUGAUCAGUCACACUGGAACUGAGACACGGUCCAGACUCCUACGGGAGGCAGCAGUGGGGAAUAUUGGACAAUGGGCGCAAGCCUGAUCCAGCCAUGCCGCGUGUGUGAAGAAGGUCUUCGGAUUGUAAAGCACUUUAAGUUGGGAGGAAGGGAAGUAAGUUAAUACCUUGCUUCUUUGACGUUACCGACAGAAUAAGCACCGGCUAACUCUG
rnacentral:rRNA from 1 species